rnacentral:lncRNA from 1 species
GUCUCGCUCUGUCUCCCAGGCUGGAGUGUAGUGGUGCUAUCUCCACUCGCUGCAACCUCCGCCUCCUGGGUUUAAGCGAUUCUCCUGCCUCAGCCUCCCGAAUAGCUGGGACUAUAGGCGCAUGCCACCAUGCCCAGCUAAUUUUUUGUAUUUUUAGUAGAGAUGGGGUUUCACUGUGUUAGUCAGGCUGGUCUCGAACUCCUGACCUCAGGCGACCCACCCACCUUGGCCUCCCAAAGUGCUGGGAUUACACGUAUUAGCCACUGCGCCCAGCCCGUAUUUAGCUUUUAAUAAACAUGUGUGCCAAAGUCAGUUGGGAGAAAUCCCACUUGUAUAACUGGCCUCUUGACACACACAGACUCAGCUACACAUAUUCAUUUUGAAAGUAAUUUUUUCAUAGUUUGGAAUCAUUCAAGCUGGCUUUGAGCUCUGUUGGGGUCUCCAACUCCAUGAUGCAACAUAUUCCUGAGAUUAAGCAGUUAUUGCAGAAUAAGCAAUGAUGACACAGUGAUUUUAAAGGUAGAGUCUCGCACUGUCGCCCAUACUAGAGGGCAGUAGCACGGUCUCGGCUCACUGCAACCUCCGCCUCCCGGGUUCAAGCAAUUCUCCUGCCUCAGCCUCCCGAGUAGCUGGGAUUACAGGUGCUUGCCACCAUGCCCGGCUAAUUUUUUUUGUAUUUUUAAUAGAGACAGGGUUUCACUAUGUUGGCCAGGCUGGUCUCAAGCUCCUGACCUUGUGAUCUGCCUGCCGUGGCCUCCCAAAGUGCUGGGAUUACAGGCAUGAGCUACCACCCCCAGCCUGUGAUUUGCAUUUCUCUAACGAUUAGUGAUACUGAGCAUCUUUUCCUGUGUUUAUGGGCUAUUUGUGUAUCUUUUUUGGAGAAAUGCCUAUUUAAAUUGUCAUUUGCCUGUUUUUUAAUUGGGUUGUUUUUGUGUUGUUGAGUUUCAGGAGUUCUUCAUAUAGUGUGGAUAUUAAUUGCUUAUCAGAUAUGAUUUACAAAUAUUUUCUCCUACACUGUGUGUUGUCUUUUCACUCUUUUUUUUUUUUUUUUUUUUUUUUGAGACAGUCUUGCUCUGUCGCCCAGGCUGGAGUGCAGUGGCACGAUCGCAGCUCACUGCAGGCUCCGCCUCUCAGGUUCAUGCCAUUCUCCAGCCUCAGCCUCCCAAGCAGCUGGGACUACAGGCACCUGCCACCUCACCUGGCUAAUUUUUUGUAUUUUUAGUAGAGACAGAGUUUCACCAUGUUAGCCAGGAUGGUCUCGAUCUCCUGACCUCGUGAUCCACCCGCCUUGGCCUCCCAAAGUGCUGGGAUUACAGGCGUGAGCCACCGUGCCCGGCUGUCUUUUCAUUCUCUUGAUAGUCCUUUUUUUUUUUUUUCUGGAGAUGGGGUCGCACUCUGUCGCCCAUGCUGGAGUACAGUGGUGUGAUCACAGCUCACGUUAGCCUCAACCUCUCAGGCUCAAGUGAUCCUCCUGCCUCAGCCUCCCAAGUAGCUGGGACUACAGGCAUGCACCACCAUGCCUGGCUAAUUUUUGUAUUUUUUGUACAGAUGGUGUUUCACCAUGUUACCCUGGCUUGUCUCGAAUUCCUGGGCUCAAGUGAUCCUCACGCCUCAGCCUCCCAAAGUGUUAGUGAGAGGUGACAGCGUGCUGGCAGUCCUCACAGCCCUCGCUCACUCUCGGCGCCUCCUCUGCCUGGGCUCCCACUUUGGCAGCACUUGAGGAGCCCUUCAGCCCACGGCUGCACUGUGGGAGCCCCUUUCUGGGCUGGCCAAGACCGUGCGCCCGCACUCCUCAGCCCUUGGGUGGUCGAUGGAACUGGGCACCAUGGAACAGGGGGUGGCACUCAUCAGGGAGGCUCGGGCCACACAGGAGCCCACAGAGGGGGUGGGAGGCUCAGGCAUGGUGUGGGACUGGCAGGCAGCUCCACCUGCAGCCCUGGCGCGGGAUUCCUGGGUGAAGCCAGCUGGGCUCCUGAGCCUGGUGGGGACGUGGAGAACCUUUAUGUCUAGCUCAGGGAUUGUAAAUACACCAAUCAGCACCCUGUGUCUAGCUCAGGGUUUGUGAAUGCACCAAUCGACACUCUGUAUAUAGCUAAUCUGGUGGGGCCUUAGAGAACCUUUGUGUGGACACUCUGUAUAUAGCUAAUCUGGUGGGGACUUGGAGAACCUUUGUGUCUAGCUCAGGGAUUGUAAACGCACCAAUCAGCGCCCUGUCAAAACAGACCACUCAGCUCUACCAAUCAGCAGGAUGUGGGUGGGGGCCAGAUAAGACAAUAACAGCAGGCUGCCCCAGCCAUCAGUGGCAACCCGCUGGGGUCCCCUUCCACACUGUGGAAGCUCUGUUCCUUCGGUCUUUGCAAUAAAUCCUGCUACUGCUCACUCUUUGGGUCCACACUGCCUUUAUGAGCUGUAACACUCACCGGGAAGGUCUGCAGCUUCACUCCUGAAGCCAGCGAGACCACGAGCCCACCGGCAGGAACGAACAACUCCAGACGCGCAGCCUUAAGAGCUGUAACACUCACCGCCAAGGUCUGCAGCUUCACUCCUGAGCCAGCGAGACCACGAACCCACCAGAAGGAAGAAACUCCGAACACAUCUGAACAUCAGAAGGAACAAACUCCAGACACGCCACCUUUAAGAACUGUAACACUCACCGUGAGGGUCCACGGCUACAUUCUUGAAGUCAGUGAGACCAAGAACCCACCAAUUCCGGACACGUUAGAAUUACAGGCAUGAGUCACCAUGCCUGGCCUUCCCCUGUUUUCUUCUAAGAGUUUUAUUGUUUUAACUCUUAAGUUUAGGUCUUUGAUCAUUUUGGGUUCAUUUUUGUAUGGCAAUUAAUUUUUAAAAAUUCACUUCUGUGAAAACUUGUUCAAGAGCAGGAUUCAUCCUAGCACUUUGGGAGGCCAAGGCGGGCAGAUCACUUGAGGUCAGGAGUUCGAGACCAGCCUGGCCAACAUGGUGAGACCCAGUCACUACUAAAAAAUACAAAAAUUAGCCAGGCGUGGUGGCACAUACCUAUAAUCCCAGCUACUCUGGAGGCUGAGGCAGGAGAAUCACUUGAACCCCGGAGGCGGAGGUUGCAGUGAGCUGAGAUCACGCCACUGUGCUCCAGACUGCGUGACAGAGUGAGACUCCAUCUCAAAAAAAAGAGAGCAGAAUUCAACCCCUGAGCCACCUGUUUGCCACCUUGGCUUUAGAUGCUUUUUUUUUUUUUUUUUUUUUUGGUCUGAGAUGGAGUCUUGCUCUGUCCCCCAGGCUGGUGUGCAGUGGGGCAAUCUCGGCUCACUGCAGCCUCUGCCUCCUGGGUUCAAGCAAUUUUCCUGCCUCAGCCUCCCAAGUAGCUGGGAUUAUAGGUUCACACCACCAGUCCCGGCUAUUUUUUGUAUUUUUAGUAGAGACUGGGUUUCCACCAUGUUGGCCAGGCUGGUCACAGACUCUUGACCUCAAGUGAUCCACCUGCCUCGGCCACCCAAAGUGUUGGGAUUACAGGUGCGAGCCACCGCACACGGCUAGAUGCUGGUAUUCCUCAGGGUUGAUCAUUUUCUCUUCUUACUCACAGUUCUGAAAUUAAUCACAUCAAUUCUGAGGACUUAAAUUAUUGCCUUGGUGAGAGGCUGUAUGGUGUGGUUAAGAGCAUAGAUCCGGAGCUGGACUACUGGAGUUGGAACCUUAGCUCUGGCACUUAGUUACUGUGUAACUUUGAUUACUGUACACAACUGUUUUUUGGUCUUAUGUUGUCCAAGGCACUGCCUGGGAUUACAGGCAUUAGCCACUGCACCCGACCUGCACACAACCUUUUGUUCCCUCAUCUGUAAAAUGGCAAGAGUGAAGGCACAUACCUCAUAGGGUUGUUGUGAGGAAUCAAUAAGUAAAUGUACAUAAAGAUCCAACAGUAAGUUCUCAAUAAGUGGUAAAUAGCAUUCAUUGUCUUUUUUUUUUUUUUUUUGAGAUGGAGUUUCACUCUUCUUACCCAGGCUGGGGUGCAAUGGCAUGGUCUUGGCUCACUGCAACCUCCACCUCCAGGGUUCAAGCAAUUCUCCUGUCUCAGCCUGCCAGGUAGCUGGGAUUACAGGCAUGCGCCACCAUACCUGGCUAAUUUUUGUAUUUUUAGUAGAGACUGGGUUUCACCACGUUGGCCAGGCUGGUCUCGAACUCCUGACCCACCCGCCUCGGCCUCCCAAGGUGCUGAGAUUACAGGCAUGCGCCACCGCACCCAGCCUCAUUGUCAUCUUUAAGCUGAUGUCAUCUUAGGCUUUCAAGUAAGAAUCCAUCCAGUCCAGGCCAGGCACGGUGGCUCACGCCUAUAAUCCCAGCACUUUGGGAGACUGAGGUGGUGGGGCGGUGGGGGUGGAUCACCUGAGGCCAGGAGUUCGAGACCAGCCUGGCCCACAUGGUGAAAACCUGUCUCUACUAAAAAUACAAAAAAUUAGCCGGGUGUGAUGGCUCAUGCCUGUAAUCCCAGAUACUUCGGAGGCUGAAGCAGGAGAAUCCUUGAAUCCAGGAGGUAGAGGUUGCAGUGAGCCAAGAUCACGCCAUUGCACUCCAUCCUGGGCGACAAGAGCGAAAUUCUGUCUCAAAAAAAAAGAAUCUCUCAGGUCCAGACUUCUUUCCUGAGGUUGACAGCACAUCAACUGGAUGUCUUGCUAGUGUCACCACUCAACAAGUCCAAAACUGACAUCUCUGACAUAUCUGUGACUCCGUCCCCAGUGCCCUCACCCUAACCCAGGCUGCUAUCAUUUCUGCCAUCCUGAAAAGAGAAACAAGGUCUUCAAUCUAGUCUCCGUACAGUAGCCACAAGCCUGUUCAGGACACUCCCCUGCCUAAAUUCCUCCCGGGGCCUUCUCAUUGCUCUUAGAAUAAAAGGCACAUUCUGUCUGGCGGCUUCCUGGGGGCUUCCUCACCCUGUCGCUCUCUUCCUCUCUUCUCUGUAUUCCCACCCUCCUGGACUUGCCUCCUCACCUCCUCUCCGAGCCUCAGGGCCGUUGCACAAGCUGUUCCUUCUGCCUGGAACGCUCUCUCCUGCUGUCCCACUUUAGUUGGCUGAUGACUGUUCAAAUCUUAAAUAUCAUGUUUUCCAGGAGACCUUCUUAAACCCCAGUGUUCUUUACCUACCCUAGCACAACAAACACCUCAUUGUAACUGUUUAUCUAUUAAAUGCGCCUCUGCCAAAAUAUGAGUCAGAAGAACAGGAACAUUUGUUGUGUUCUCCACUGUGUCCUUCCCUAGCCCAGUGCCUGGCAUGCAGUAGGUGCUGUCUGUGUAUAAUACAUAGCUGAUGGAGAGAAAUGCAAGACGUGGGAGCCAGAAUUAUCGCAGGAGUUGGGGAGACUAACAGGGAAGAAGCAUUUUUCUGGUGCAGUGUGAGGCAGGCAGGGAUGUUGCCAAACGUCCCGGAAGCUGGGCAGGAAUCAGGCACUGAGGGCUUUGUAUCCUGAUAGGCUGGGAUGCUUGUUCUUCCUCCUGUGGCAUGGAAAACCACAGAAGGGUUUUCAGUCGGGAGGUAAUAUGACUGCAGGUGAAGCACCAGCCAGCCAGGGUGUGGCAGCAGGUGGGCAAGAUUGGAGACAGGGAGCCAGUUAAGAAGCUGUGGCAGUAAAAAGUGCCUGGAAGGAAACACUGAGAACUGGGGGCUGAGCGCAGUGGCUCACACCUGUAAUUCCAGCAAUUUGGGAGGUUGAGGCGAGAGCAUCGCUUGAGCCCAGGAGUUCGAGACCAGCCUGGGCAACAUAGCUAAUCCCUGUCUCUGCAAAAAAAUCAGGAAAUUAGCCCAGCAUCGUGGCACGCACCUGUAGUCCCAACUACGUAGGAGGCUGAGGUGGGAGGAUCACUUGAACCACUUGAACCCAGGAGGUCGAGGCUGCAGUGAGCCAAGAUCUUGCCACUACACUCCAGCCUGGGGGACAGAGCAAGACCCUUCUCAACAGAAAAAGGGGGGAAAAAAGAGAAACACUCCAAUUCCCCACUUAAAGCUACUGGAAAAUAACCUGGAAGAUAUAUCUGGACAGUGCUGCUGGAUUGCAAACAUCAAAACACAGGUCCCUGUUAUAAAGGAGGAUUUCAGAAAACCAAUAAAUAAUUUUUUAGUAUGUCCCAAAUAUGGCAUUGGACAUACUUACAUUAAACAAUUAUUUAUUGUUUACCUGAAAUUCACCUUGCAUUGGGCAUUCUGUAUUUUAUCUGGCAACUAUACCCACUGACUUUUCUUCUUCUGACUAUACUGCUAGACUCUUCCCCAAAUUUUAUCUUGAAUGAUUUCUUUUCUUUUAUUUAUUUAUUUUUUUUGAGAUGGAGUCUCGCUCUGUCACCAGGCUGGAGUGCAGUAGUAUGAUUUCGACUCACUGCAACCUCCACCUCCUGGAUUCAAUCAAUUCUCCUGGCUCACUCAGCCUUUGGAGUAGCUGGGAUUACAGGCAUGCACCACC